GUAUUAAUACAUGUAUGUAAUUUGUAAAUAGCUGUAUUUAUAUCGGAGGUAUGUCCUCAAAAGCUUUUUAGUGCGAGGGGCGUAUGAUUAAAGAAGUGUGGAGAUCACUGCUCUAGAACAACACAUCUGAGCAAAAAUAGUCUGGGGCAGUGGAGAUUUACCCACAGCAAAGGAUGAUUUAGGGAUGUAGUCAGGAUGACUUACGCAAACCAGACAAGUUGAAGCCCAUGGGACUAGGUGGGAUGCACCCAAGGGUGCCGAAGGUGCCUUUUUGGGCUCUGCAUGACUCCCCAGAGCUUCCUGCUUUGGUCCCGCAGACACUGUCGGUGGCAGGGGAUUCCUCCCCACUUCUCCCUGCCCCUGGCGGCAGAGCUGAGCGUAUCGCCCUGUGCCGGACCCAGCAGGAACACGCUGUUCGGAUGCAGGCAGAAGCAAACACAGUGCCAGCUGAGGCCACGGCUGCCGAUGUUAUCUGUGCAAUGUCUUCAGCCGUCAUGCGUGUGGCCAGAGACAGGUUUGCUUGCUGCCUCUGAGGAGCUGUGCAAGCAUAAAAGCUUGGAGGUCCCCAUGGAGCGCAACGUCCUCACAGGUGUGCUGCAUGGGUGCCAGGUUGUGCUGGGCAAGAGGCCAGCUCUGAAGAUGAAGGUCAUGUUCCUGCUCUUGGAGCUGAUGCUUCUUUCAGUGCUGCAAGCCCAGGCAAAAAUCCCUCUGAAGGAAUAUUUUGAUGCAGAGAAGAGUUUCCAAGAGCUGGCCUCCAUCCUCCAACCUUGAACGGUGAUCAACUAAAAGUAGAAAAAUACAGUGGACAUGGAAACAUCUGCCGUGUGGCUGGAGACUACAGAGGUGAGACCAGAGGGGCUACUGUGCUCUGUGCCCACGCAGGAGAUGUCCAAGAUCUGCUCCUGCUGCUGACUCAGACUUAAGCCCUGAAGGAUGUGAGCAGAGGAUGACAGUCCUAAAAAGAAAUGAUCAAUCUAGUCAACACACAAACUCCUGCUUUUCAGGGUUUAGGAGCUCUGAUGAUGGUCUUGAGGAAAGAAGUGGCAUUUCUCACAACCACGGGGAAGAUGUCCCCAGCUGCAGGCUGCUAGAUACGGACUACAGCAACCACAUCCUCCUCAGUGACCGCGAGUACCAGGGGCGGAUCAUCUCAGUGCUGUUUCUCUACAGCAGGGAUGCUGAAGCGAAACCCCACAUGUUAGAGAAAUUCAGAGACACCAUGAGCCAGAUGGGGCUUUCUGAGGAGCAGAUGAUUGUGCUGCCCAAGACCGAGUGCACCCCGCCAUCCGAGUAGGUGACUUAGAGCUCCAACCAUCCCAUCCUGUUGCUGGGUGAGCCCCAGUGUCCUCCUGCCCACCCACCCCAAGCUGGGAGCACAGCCAGUCCCAGCACAACCAUGCACAAUCAGCUCAAAACUGAUCCCAGCCCAAAAGCACUGUUCUCCUGGGGAAAGGCUUAAAACCAUAUAAAAACUGGAAAAUACAA